CUUCACGGAGCCGACCCACAACGGCCGGUCCUCGGGCCGCCCUUGGCCGUAGGCCGCGAGGAGGGCCUGGGCCUC
rnacentral:antisense_RNA from 1 species